rnacentral:rRNA from 1 species
UACGGAGGAUCCGAGCGUUAUCCGGAUUUAUUGGGUUUAAAGGGUGCGCAGGCGGGGGAUUAAGUCGGCGGUGAAAUUUUGCAGCUCAACUGUAAAAGUGCCUUCGAAACUGGUUUCCUUGAGUGUAGAUGAAGUAGGCGGAAUUUGUGGUGUAGCGGUGAAAUGCAUAGAUAUCACGAGGAACUCCGAUUGCGCAGGCAGCUUACUAAACUACUACUGACGCUCAGGCACGAAGGCGUGGGGAUCAAACAGGAUUAGAUACCCUGGUAGU